rnacentral:lncRNA from 1 species
GGGUAGCCAUUGUAGUGUGAUUCCACAGGAUUAGAAACAUAUUGGCCGAGCUUACUGACAAGAAGAGCAAGGUCUGGUCUAGUGUUUGCAGAGAUAUAGAAGACGGCCAAUUAAUCUUUGAUAAAGCUUGGGAUCCGGAUAGGGAGUGCCAUCAUCUUUUUGUAACUUUGAGGUUAUGUAAGAUUGGAGUUGAUGUAGGUUUUGUUGGUUUGCAAGUGUGAGUUAUAUGUCCCACAUCGGAUAAAAUAGUAAAGGUUGAACACCUUAUAAGUAAGAGGACCCAUAAACCCAUUACCUUAAGGUUUUGGGUAAGAGUGUGGUGUCUCUCUUGCUUGUGCGGUUGUUCUAGCCUCGAUGUGGACGGUCCCCCGCGCUCCUCUCAUAACCCAACAGGUUUUCUGUUCAGUAAACCCGUGUCAUCUUUUUUUUUUUUAAACAGCUAAAUUUUAUUAGGU